UCUGCGAGCUGAGGGCGUCCAGACGCAGGGCCAGCCUCCGCACGCCGUGACGGGAGUUGUCUGCAAUCCCAAAGGCUUGUGGCUUGAAUUGCCAUUUUUUCCCCCGCUGCCUGAGCCAAAGACAGGGUCAGAUAGACCCUUCAAAGCUGACUGGCAAGAAAGGAUGGGAGAAAGUGUGUUUGAGGUCCACCUGCUGACGCCCACAAUAAUGGGCUUCAGAUCAGAUGGCAAUGCGACUUGAUAGUCUUCCCUGCCAGCAUAAGGGAACCACUUGAUCUCAACCUGACUACGAGGAGGAUUUUACAGGCUAAGUCAACAGAAGCCAGAAAAACAAUCCUGCUGGUUCCAGCACAGACUGCUCUGCCGCUCGAGAUCCGCCUGCUGGACGUUAUACGCCUGAUGCGGAGCAUCAUCGCAUCCUGGGUAUGGUGCUCUGCAGCUGCUCAGACUGCAACUCAAGCUGCUCUACCUCCAUGAUUAUUUGUGAGUGUAAAUCUUGAGAUCUGACAGCCAGCGUCCUAUCCAGAGCUGUCAAAUACUCAGCCUGUAAUAACUUAUUGUUUCCUUCGUGAUCUGUCCCUCCCUGCUCCCUCAUGCCUCUUCUCACUCAGCACGAAGUCUCGCAGACCCCAGCCUGACCACUGUCCAGCCCUUUUCCCUUUGCCCUCGUUAACACAGCAGCCAUCUAAUUACCUCAUCCCAUCCGGUCGUGUUUAUCCAGCUGGAGCAGCAGGUUUGAUUUUCUCAGCCAAGGGAUUGUGCCAACAAGCAAAUAGCAUUUUUUUUUUUUUUAAAGGAGUAUUAAAAGAGGUUUAUGUUAAGCCAGGGAACAAUAAGGAAAUGAAGGGGAAUUUUGU